rnacentral:rRNA from 1 species
UACGUAGGGUCCGAGCGUUGUCCGGAAUUACUGGGCGUAAAGAGCUCGUAGGCGGUUUGUCGCGUCUGCUGUGAAAACUCGGGGCUUAACUCCGGGCCUGCAGUGGGUACGGGCAGACUAGAGUGAUGUAGGGGAGACUGGAAUUCCCGGUGUAGCGGUGAAAUGCGCAGAUAUCGGGAGGAACACCAAUGGCGAAGGCAGCUCGCUGGGACGGUACUGACGCUGAGACGCGAAAGCGUGGGGAGCAAACAGGG